UAUUGAUCGAAAAUUAUAAAAGUUGUUGUUAUCCUAAUUAUUCAAACACAAUCUUAAAUCUAUAAUAUUUUUCUAUAAAAAUGAUAAAUUUCUGAAAAUAGAAUUUUAAAAAAUUAUUUAAAAUCUACAACAUAUUGAUUAAAAAUCUUAAAAGAAUAUUCUUCUAUCAAAAGAAAUUCUUGUUAUCAUAAUUUCUAAAUCACAGAUCCCAAAUCUACAAUAGUUAUCUAUAAAAUGAUUAUUUUCCAAAAUUUUUAAAAGAAAACUCAUC
rnacentral:lncRNA from 1 species